rnacentral:rRNA from 1 species
UACGUAGGGUGCAAGCGUUAAUCGGAAUUACUGGGCGUAAAGCGUGCGCAGGCGGUUGUGCAAGACAGAUGUGAAAUCCCCGGGCUUAACCUGGGAACUGCAUUUGUGACUGCACGGCUAGAGUGUGUCAGAGGGGGGUAGAAUUCCACGUGUAGCAGUGAAAUGCGUAGAUAUGUGGAGGAAUGACCGAUGGCGAAGGCAGCCCCCCUGGGAUAACACUGACGCUCAUGCACGAAAGCGUGGGGGAGCAAACAGG